GACGAACGCUGGCGGCGUGCCUAAUACAUGCAUGUAGGACGCAGUUUCGACCGGGUGAGUCACGCGUAGGUAAAUACAUAUUAGAGGGGGAUAACUAUUGGAAACGAUAGCUAAUACCGCAUAAUAGUAGCUGGACCUGCGUUGUAUUGGAUAGUAGGUAGGGUAAUGGCUUACCUAGGCAACGUUACAUAGCCGACCUGAUAGGGUGAUCGGCCACACUGGGACGGUGACACGGCCCAGAGUACUACGGGAGGCAGAGGUAGUGAAUCUGCGGCAAUGGGGGGACCCCUGACCGCGCAACGACGGGUGAGUGAAGAAGGUUUUCGGAUCGUAAAGCUUUGUUGUUAAGGAAGCGGUACUUAACCAGAAAGGGACGGCUAACUACGUGCCAGCAGCGGCGGUAAUAC
rnacentral:rRNA from 1 species